rnacentral:tRNA from 1 species
GCGAAGCUUUUGGCGGGGAGCGCUUCACUGAUAAUGAAGAGGUCGAUGGUUCAAGUCCAUCCGC